GACGAACGCUGGCGGCGUGCCUAAUACAUGCAAGUUGAGCGCUGAAGGUUGGUACUUGUACCAACUGGAUGAGCAGCGAACGGGUGAGUAACGCGUGGGGAAUCUGCCUUUGAGCGGGGGACGACAUUUGGAAACGAAUGCUAAUACCGCAUAAAAACUUUAAACACAAGUUUUAAGUUUGAAAGAUGCAAUUGCAUCACUCAAAGAUGAUCCCGCGUUGUAUUAGCUAGUUGGUGAGGUAAAGGCUCACCAAGGCGAUGAUACAUAGCCGACCUGAGAGGGUGAUCGGCCACAUUGGGACUGAGACACGGCCCAAACUCCUACGGGAGGCAGCAGUAGGGAAUCUUCGGCAAUGGACGAAAGUCUGACCGAGCAACGCCGCGUGAGUGAAGAAGGUUGUCGGAUCGUAAAACUCUGUUGGUAGAGAAGAACGUCGGUGAGAGUGGAAAGCUCAUCAAGUGACGGUAACUACCCAGAAAGGGACGGCUAACUACGUG
rnacentral:rRNA from 1 species